rnacentral:rRNA from 1 species
CCUACGGGAGGCAGCAGUGAGGAAUAUUGGUCAAUGGACGCAAGUCUGAACCAGCCAUGCCGCGUGCAGGAAGACGGCUCUAUGAGUUGUAAACUGCUUUUGUACGAGGGUAAACGCAGAUACGUGUAUCUGUCUGAAAGUAUCGUACGAAUAAGGAUCGGCUAACUCCGUGCCAGCAGCCGCGGUAUUACGGUGGAUUCAAGCGUUCUCCGGAUUUAUUGGGUUUAAAGGGUGCGUAGGCUGCCGGAUAAGUUAGAGGUGAAAUCCCGAGGCUCAACUUCGGAAUUGCCUCUGAUACUGUUCGGCUAGAGAGGAGUUGCGGUAGGCGGAAUGUGUGGUGUAGCGGUGAAAUGCUUAGAGAUCAUACAGAACACCGAUUGCGAAGGCAGCUUACCAAGCUACUUCUGACGUUGAGGCACGAAAGCGUGGGGAGCGAACAGGAUUAGAUACCCGUGUAGUC